AACCCCAGGAUUAACGUUUCAUGUCCUUUAAGAAAUAUCUUAAAAGAAAUAGCAAAGGAAGAUGAAAUAGGUUAAAAUAUGCUCUGUUUCGGGGCUCCCGAGUGGCGCAUCCAGUAAAGGCGCUCCGCGUGAGUGCAGGAUGCCCUCUAUAGCCUGCAAGUCGCGAGUUCGAAUCCAGGCUAUUCCUUUGCCGAUCGAGGACGGGAGCUUCCAAGGGGCGGCGCACAAUUGGCCGAGCGUCGCCCGGGGGGAGGGAGGGUAAGGUCGGUCAGGGUGUUCUCGGCUCACCGCGCACCAGCGACCUCUGUAGUCUGGCCGGGCGCCUGCGGUCUUGGCUGUAAGCUGCCCGAGAGCUGCGUUGUCCUCCGACGCUGUAGCUCUUGGGUGGCUGCAUGGUGAGUCUGCAGUGUGAAAAAAAGCGGUCGGCUUGGCGGCACACGCUUCGGAGGACAGCGUGUGUUCAUCUUCGCCCUCCCGAGUCAGCGCAGGGGUGGUAGCGGUGAGCCGACCGUAAUAAAAUAAUUGGCCAUUCCAAAAAUUGGGAGAAAAUAAUAAAAAAUAAUUGGCAACGACAAUUUAAAAAAAGAAAAAAAAAAAAAUGCUCUGUUUACAUUGAAGCUCAGGGAACCCAAAGACACCUUUUCAGGAACAGUGGCUUGAAACCUGGUUCUAUGAAACCAAACCCAUCUCCCCUGGUGUGCCAUGCAGUGGACUGAAUAACCUAGGUCUCUGAAACCAAGUUAAAAGCCACAGUGGCUUCGUGUCCCCUCGGCUAUACACCUCAUUGGUCAUUUCCCCCAGGGAAUUAAAUUCUCCCAAACAGCCUAAGCUUUACAGCCAGUGGAAUGCUUAGACCCUGCUGAGGUGAAAUGGCCUGAAACGGCAGCCAGAUAUAAUUUAAUACUUGCCUGCUGUAAACUGCAUCUUUAUAGUGAAUGGGAGUCCACAGCAGAGUGUUCCCUGGAGGACAAAGACCAGCCCUGCCAGUGUCCGCAUGAAGCUCACUGGGCACCUGGCCAGUGGGGUCCACUGUUGCAUGAGAAUUGUGUCUCUCUGUGAAAUCCCCAGCAAAGAUCAGCAACUUCACAGCCAGGCCAAGAACCUGCGCUCCCCUGACUGACUUACCCUGCACACCACGGGGCCAUGCCUUUACCAGCCAAGAUCUGGUCCUCACUUGAGUGCUCUUCACCCCGAGAGAAAAACAUCAUUAUCAUCCUGUGCACAGUCUGCAUUGUUCAGAGGGUACAGCAGUUUGCCAUGUCUUUAUAUAAAUGCACAUCAUUUCUUAACAGUAUAUUUAUAAUUUGGGUCAUUAAACAGUAGUUUUAGGUCUGAAUAAAUGCCAAUAAAGUGUUCUAAUAGCCCAAGAAGGCUCCAAAGACUAGCUAAUCUUUACACUUAUGCCUCUAAAUCACCAAUGUGCCACAGUAACCUUAAUGAAGGUUCCACUUCGAAGCAAAUGUACUGUAUGUCUUGGGCUAGGGUUAUAACCCAGCCCUGGUUUCAGAACUCCCCUUUUAUAGUUAUAUUAUUAAAAUGACCAGGUGACAGGAAUUUGAGCUGCACAAACCCAUUAUUUGGAGUGAGCUCUCCACAGGUAAGAGUCACUGGUGCUGAUUGGGCUAACUUACCAUGCCAAGUGAAAGAAACAGUUGGAUUUGUGCGGACUCCACAAAGUCUAAGCCAAGCAGCAAUCAUCACACAUCCAAGCAGCUGUUUCUCCACUUGUUUCACCUGGAAAGUUACAAUUAGCCCGAUCAACACCAAUGAUCCUCACCUUAUAGUCAGCAGCUGAUUUCUGUGGAGAGCUCAAUUUGAAAUAAUCAAAUAAUUGGUUUGUGCAGUACUACCUUUGUAUGUAUGUUUACCAUUACCAGUUGUUCAAUCAGCUUUAUGCAAGGGACAAUUUAUGUAACAGCCCAGAUUGCUCAAAUUCCAGUAUAUUUAAAUACAAUACUUAAUUGAAGUUGGGUCUAAACCCAGGACUGGGUCUAGUCUGAGUAAGA